GCAGACACAUUCCAGCCAUUUAGCAGCAGACCCUCCCUCCCAGACCCUCCCACCUCCUGGACAGCUCACUAAGAAUGCAGCUUCACAAUGAAUGUAAAAUGGAUGCUGUCCAGGAGGUGGGAGGGUCUUGGAGGGAGGGUCUGCUGCUGAUUGGCUGGAAUGUGUCUG
rnacentral:miRNA from 1 species